UUGGUUUAUAGUUUAUGUUGCCAUAAUCGAUAGAGCAUCGAUACAUAGUUCACUAAAAGAUAUUGAAAAGUCAUGGAUUUGUGGUUGACUGGGAAAUCUUAACGUGGUGAUUGAAAAGUAGUGGAUUUAUAGUUGACCGCGCGACGACGUUUGAACUGUCCAGUUCAUUUUCAGCAACAGUUCAGUCAGACCAACGGGGGUGUUCAGCUCUCUGUCAAGUUCACUCCUCCUUAAUGGUGCCACUUCACUCUGCUACUGGAUGGUGGAGGGCUAACUGCGAACGGGUGGUCUAUGAAUGCUAUACUGAAUGGAUGGCAGGGAAGCACAACACACGUGAAUUUCUAAAUGAAGAAGAGUUAAUAAAUGCACUUGAUUUUCAAACUGA